AACCUGCCCUGUACUGUGGAAUAAUCAUUGGAAACGAUGACUAAUACCGCAUGUGGUCCUCGGAAGGCAUCUUCUGAGGAAGAAAGGAUUUAUUCGGUACAGGAUGGGCCCGCAUCUGAUUAGCUAGUUGGUGAGAUAACAGCCCACCAAGGCGACGAUCAGUAGCCGACCUGAGAGGGUGAUCGGCCACAUUGGGACUGAGAUACGGCCCAG
rnacentral:rRNA from 1 species